UUAAUUAUUUAACUAUUUUCAGAUAUAACAUGCUUGAGAAGAAUUUAUUGUGGGCUACUGACAGGCACGGGCCAGAGGUUUUAACCCCUCCGGCGGUCCGGUUAAAGACGGGCCCGCCAAAGCAACAUGGUAGUUAUACAAAGGGUUGGAGAUCGGGCCUAGAAGACCCUAACUCUUUAAUGAUCCUUCCGCAGGUUCACCUAAAAAAUCACAUAAGUUAGCGAAAUGUCACAAAAAGAUAGAGGAAUUUUUGGUUAGGGUAUAACUCACCUACGGAAA
rnacentral:misc_RNA from 1 species